CCUACGGGAGGCAGCAGUGAGGAAUAUUGGUCAAUGGGCGCGAGCCUGAACCAGCCAAGUAGCGUGAAGGAUGACUGCCCUACGGGUUGUAAACUUCUUUUAUAAAGGAAUAAAGUGAGGCACGUGUGCCUUUUUGUAUGUACUUUAUGAAUAAGGAUCGGCUAACUCCGUGCCAGCAGCCGCGGUAAUACGGAGGAUCCGAGCGUUAUCCGGAUUUAUUGGGUUUAAAGGGAGCGUAGAUGGGUUGUUAAGUCAGUUGUGACAGUUUGCGGCUCAACCGUAAAAUUGCAAUUGAUACUGGCAGUCUUGAGGACAGGUGAGGUAGGCGGAAUUCGUGGUGUAGCCGUGAAAUGCUUAGAUAUCACGAAGAACUGCGAAUGCGAAGGCAGCUUACUAAACUGCCACUGACAUUGAUGCUCGAAAGUGUGGGUAUCAAACAGGAUUAGAUCCCGAGUAGUC
rnacentral:rRNA from 1 species